GGCUCAUGUUUUGCUUUGGUUAACAGCAGGUAGCCAAAGGCGGUUGCCACCCUACGACAAAGACGUCGC
rnacentral:ncRNA from 1 species